CGAGAACCUUUACCAGGUCUUCAUCAACUACAAAGAGAGGUUGUUGCCGUAUGGGCGGUACUGCAGUCAGGUGGAAGCAGCUACUAAACACCUGGACAAGAUGUCCGCCAUGAAGGAAGGAGUUAAGAUGAAACUAGAGGAGUGCUCUAAGAGGGCUAACAGUGGCAGGUUCUCUCUGCGUGAUCUACUCAUGGUUCCCAUGCAGAGAGUCCUCAAAUACCACCUACUGCUCCAGGAGCUGGUGAAACACACCUCCAGCAAUGCAGAGAAAGAAAACCUUCGGACG